rnacentral:rRNA from 1 species
AACCUUUACACUGCACGACAGUGCGAUAAGGGGACUCCGAGUGCGAGGGCAUACAGUCCUCGCUUUUCUGUACCGUAAGGUGGUACAGGAACAAGUGCUGGGCAAGACCGGUGCCAGCCGCCGCGGUAAUACCGGCAGCACGAGUGAUGGCCGAUAUUAUUGGGCCUAAAGCGUCCGUAGCUGGCCGAGCAAGUCCGUUGGGAAAUCGACGUGCCUAACACGUCGGCGUCCAGCGGAAACUGUUCGGCUUGGGGCCGGAAGAUCCGAGGGGUACGUCCGGGGUAGGAGUGAAAUCCCGUAAUCCUGGACGGACCGCCGGUGGCGAAAGCGCCUCGGAAGGACGGACCCGACAGUGAGGGACGAAAGCCAGGGUCUCGAACCGGAUUAGAUACCCGGGUAGUCCUGGCCGUAAACAAUGCUCGCUAGGUAUGUCACGCGCCAUGAGCACGUGAUGUGCCGUAGUGAAGACGAUAAGCGAGCCGCCUGGGAAGUACGUCCGCAAGGAUGAAACUUAA